UCUUAUAGUCUCAUCACCAAAACAAAGGCACGAAUAUUUUCAUUUGUUUUUUUAAUCUCUUAUAUUGUCAUCCACAAAUCGGCGCUCGUUUUCUCUAUGUUGUUCCCCUUCCCGCCGCUCUCUCUGUGAGCGAAGGACAACGCCGCGGGCGCCAACGGCGGCGAGGGACUUGCCGACGAGGCUGCGCGGCUGGCUGACCGGGCCCGCGAGCUACACGACGCCGCUGCCACCUUCAUCUCCAGGUCCUCCGCCGACGAGUAAUCCCUCCGCCACCGCACGCAAGCUAAGAUACUCCGUCGAAACUUCCCUCAAGAACUCCGCCGUCGAUGCAAUGGUAGUUACGAAGGUAGAGGAAGAAUUGAACAGGGCAAGAAGGUAUGCCCUGAAUGAUGAUGAUGCGGCGUCCCUUCUUCCUAGCAAGGCUCAGGGUAGGUUUCUGAAGAUGUUUCUUGGCGCUGUGAAUGUACACGCGACGAGGAAAGAGGUUCAACUCAAAGUGAAGGAGUACAACAACUAUAAAAGUCAGCUUGUCACUCUUCGAGAUGUUUGAUUUGGGCUGAGGCAGUGGAUAGCUAUUCAGAAUAAUGGGCAAGUCUGGUUGGUUAUUACGAUAUUGUUGUAUAAGUAUGUCUUGUAUGUAAUGAAAUGUUAUCGAUAAACCGAAAUGGAUAUACUGUGUCCAAGUGUUAGGAGAUCUCUCUUAUUUGGAAUUUCAGAAUGUUAAGUCAAAUUUAUGGUGAUAUAAACUUGUGGUGAAUAGUUGGAGUUCUGAUUGUAUAAUUUAUUUAGCUCGUGGAUUUAUAAAUGUUGUUCAUGUUUGUCAAGUUGGCUUGGGUUGCCAUAAAUGUGAAUUAUCGAGUGAUGUGAUAUAUGAUUAUAAACUGCACAGGUUUUAUGGAUGUGAAUAUGAAUAGAAUGUUUUUCAGUGUCCUCAAACGUUAGUUUGGAUCCUGGAUUGGUCUGUGACGAAAAUUUUAAAAAUCAUGGAUAUUUGAAGGGGCGUGACAGAGGUGGUAUCAGAGCAUUGUUUGAGGAUUACUGAAAUAUUUGAUAUGGUGACGUGCAAAAUAUAUUGAGGUCUAAUGAACUAUAGUGAUUGGUGGAAAGUUUCUUUGAUGUAUUUUAGGAAUCUGGGAUGAUGAGGACAUUUGGUCCUCCUAUUUCAUUGUUUCUGAUUAACUAAGGGGAAUGAAAGGAUUGAUUGGGGAUAUUGAAUCAGAGUGGCGUAGCGGAAGCAUGGUGGACCUAAUUUCAUUGGUGGUAGAAAAAUGAAUGAUACAAACAGAGAAGAUAUUUGAUGUACAAAAUUAUUUUGAUGAUUAAAAGAUUUCUUUUGCCACCUUAUAUUGGAAGUAGAGGCUGAUUAUUAUUGGCAACAAUGAAAAGAAUUUUUGGAGAUCAGUGACAAGAAUGAUAAGGACAAGUUUACCAAUAAGAAUAUGAUUGGAAAUGAAUCAGAAAGUAAUGACAAGAGGGUCAAGACAUUUGGAUUUGAAAAGGAAAGUCACCACCAAAGACUUAAUCAUGUGUGAAUUACAAGUAAAUUAUGAAACAAGUUUGUGUUUUCGGGUGAUUGGAGUCUAUUUUGCUUGUAGAAAGUUGGAUCAUAAAAUAAAAGUUUGCCCUUUGAACAAGAAGAAAGAGUCACUGCCUCCUAAAUCAUCAGCCCAUGUAAGAGUGUAUGCUAUCACUGAAUAUGAUUCUGAAACUUCUGAAUUAGUGGUCAAAGGUAUUAUGCAUGUUUAUGAAAGAAUGCAAAUAUUUGUUUGACCAUGGGUCCCAUCUAUGAUUUGAUUCGGAAUAUUCUGCCUAUCACUUGGGUAUUCAACCUAGACCACUACAUUAUGUGCUAUAUGUAAAUACGAUCAUUGGAGAUUCUUUGAUAACGAACUUGAAUCUGGUCCUCUUGUCUGAUUUUUGUUGGAGAACUUGAACUUUUGCUGAUUUAGUUCUCCUAGAGAUUUGGAGUUAUGAUAUUAUACUUGGUAUGGAUUGGCCAUCUUCUUAUCAUACCAGUAUGGAUUGAUAUAUAACAAAUGAUCACUUUUUGUAUAUUUGAUCAGUCGAUCUUUUUCUUUGAGAGUAUGGGACAUGAUUUAUCUCCUUGCCUAAUGUAUCCAGGAUGACUUGCUUGGAUUACCUCCAAAUGUGACUUUGCUUUUGAUUUGGUCCUUGGGAUAAUCCCAAUAUCUAAGCCUCUCUACAGAAAGAUAUCAUUUGAGUAAGUGAAAUUGGAAAAGCAACUACAAGGAUUGUUAAAUGAGGAUUUUAUUUGGCUUAAUAUUUCAUCAUGGGGUGCUCCGGUGUUAGUUAAAAGAAAUGUAUGGAACAUUGAGGCUUUGUAAUGAUUAUAGACAGUUGAAUUAGGUGACCAUCAAAAACGAGUAUUUUCUGAAGUAACGACUUGCUCGAUUAAUUACAGGGUACGCAAGUAUUUUUAGAAAUUGAUUGAAGGUCGGGUUACCGUCUAUUGAGGAUCAAGGAGGAGAAUAUUUCGGUCACUCGUGGAUAAUUAUGUAAUUGUAUUGUAUUGAUGAAACUAUUUAAGAGUAGGAGGAGGAAAUAAAGAUAUCAUAAUCCUCAUCUUUUCAUCGAUUGAGCUAUGAUCAAUUUAGAGGACUAAAUUUUCUUUUAAGGGGGGGAGAGUGUAAUAUCCCUCGCUUUUAAAAAUUAUUAAUAAAGAUUUAUAUGUAAAUUGGAGGACCUAUAUGUAAAUAUAGAAAUUACAAGGACUAAACUGCUAAGUUGCAAAAAAAGAAAAAAAAAAGGGAAAACCGAAAAUUCGGUAUUAUCCCACCGCCUCCCACGCACUCUGUUUCUUCCAGAAACAGAGAGAGCGGUGGGGCGGGAGGAGAAGAAGGAGAGUGGUAGAAGAAGAGGAGGUGGCUGCAGCGAGGGCUGCAGCGAGAAGCUGUGGGGCGUGGGGAGAAGAAGAGAGGAAGAAGAGGGAGAAGAGAAGAAGAAGAAGAAGAAGAAGAGAAGAGGAUAGCUGCGGCAAGGCUGCAGCGAGGAGGUGUGUGGGGUUGGGGAGGAAAAGGGAAGAGGAGAAGAAGAGGGAAAAGAGAGGGAAGAGGGAGAGGAGCGAGAGGCAGCUGCAGCAGCCAGGGCUGCAGCACCUCUGUUUCCCGCAGGUGGAAACAGAGGAGAGGAUGUGUGGGGCGUUGAGGAUGAAAAGGGAAGAAGAAGAAGAAGAAGAAGAAGAAGAAGAAGAUAGCUGCGGCAAGGCUGCAGCGAGGAGAUGUGUGGCCUUGGGGAGGAAAAGGGAAGAGGGGAAGAGGAGAAGAAGAAGAAGAGGAAGAGAAAGAGGUGUGAUACCUCUGUUUCCUGCAGAGGAAACAGAGGAGAGGGUGUGUGUGACGCCGGGGAAGAAGGGGCUGCAGCUGCGGCGAUGGCAGCUGCAGCUGGAAGAGAAGAAGAAGAGGAAGAUGAGCAGGGGAGGAGGGAGAGGUUGCGGCCGUGGCUGCGGCCGCGACUGCAGCAGUUGCAGCGGGGAGAGAAGAAGAAGAAAGGAAGGAGAAGGAAGAGGAGAAGGGAAAGAAGUAGCUGCGGCUGCGGUUGUGGCAGCUGCAACUAUGGCAGGGAAAGAGGAAGAGAAAAAGGAAAGGAAGAAGAGAGAAAGGGAAGGAGAGGAAGAAGAGAGGAAGAGGAGAAGGGAAAGAAGUAGCUGCGGCUGCGGUUGUGGCAGCUGCAGCUAUGGCAGGGAAAGAGAAAAAGGAAAGGAAGAAGAGAGAAAGGGAAGGAGAGGAAGAAGAGAGGAAGAGGAGAAGGGGCUGCGGCUGCGGCGAUGGCAGCUGCAGCUGUGGCAGGGAAAGAGAAAAAGGAAAGGAAGAAGAAGAGAAAGGGAAGGAGAGGAAGAAGAGAGGAAGAGGAGAAGGGGCUGCGGCUGCGGUGAUGGCAGCUGCAGCUGUGGCUGGGAAAGAAGAGAAGGAAAGGAAGAAGAAGAGAAAGGGAAGGAGAGGAAGAAGAGAGGAAGAGGAGAAGGGGUGGCAGCUGCGGCAGUGGCAGCUGCAGUUGGAAGAGAAGUAGGAGAGGAAAUAGAGUAGCAGAGGAAGAAGAGGCUGCGGUUGUGGUGGCUGCGGCCAUGGCUGCGACUGCGACAGCGGCAGUUGCAGCCGGGAAAGAAAGGAAAGGAAAGGGGGGAAAAAAAGGGACUGCGGACGGGAUUGCGGCCGCAGCGGCAGCGACUGCGUAUGCAGCAGUUAUGUCUGUGAGAGAAGGGAGGAAGGAAGGUAGUGCGGUGUAAGGGGCUGCGAUUGUAGCAGCGGCAACGGCGGCGGCUGUGGCAGCUGCGUUUGGGAAAGAAAAAGAAGGAAUGAGAGUAAGAGAGAGCAGGUGACUGUGCCUCGAUGUUCGACACGUGGUGUAGUUGCGAAGAAAGGAAGAAAACGGGAGCACAAAAUGAAACAGAGAGAGGACACGGAGGAAAAGUAGAAGGAUUUGGGCUGGCACCUUCUUUGGAUCUUCGGAUCGAAAUCUUUGAAAGGCAAGUUUCCCACUUGUUUCGAUCCUUUCUAUUGCAAGUAUCCUGAUCUUCCUCACUGCCAUUUUUAUCUCUACAUUUGCUUUGAAUAUGAGGAACUUUGAAUUGUUCUAGCCUUGCAUUUGUUAUAUCUCCUGUUUACAUGUAACGAUUCGAAUCUGUGCAACUUUUGAGAUUCUGAUCUUUUGAUACCGAACUGCCUAUAAGACCUUGUGGAAACUCUGAUUUGUUCAAAACUGAUUUCAUUGGAAACUAGACUCGUAGACCUUUCUUUGAUAUAUGGAUUGAAAGAUCUGAAAUUCAAACACCUGCCCAGUUAUUUGUUGAAUCUGACAUUAUGAAUUCUGCCAACAGAGAUUUUGUUCUAUGACUCUUGCUUACCAAAUUAUUUGUAACUCUCUCUGUUGGACAUUUCAAUUCAUAUGAAGCCUGUCUUAUCUGAAAGUAUUAUCCAAUGAUUAUUUCUGAGUAAAUUGGAGCACGAUUGAUAGUUUGAAUCAUUUGUUCAAUGUGCCUUCUGUAUUCUGCCAGAAAUCGAGCUUUGGUCGAUUUCUCAUAUUCUGGUUUCAUUCCUUUGGAAAUUGAUAUCCUUUAGCCUUCUUAUUCAAUUGAGCUUUAUAUUACUACUUUGAAUUCUUGUAUGCUCUUGUCCUUAAAAUUAUUGCAUUCUUGAAAACUGUUGUGUAACGUUUAUGCUAUAUCGUAUUGACUCAUAUAGGCACAUGUAUAUCCUAUUGUUCCGCAUUUGCUUUCGAUAUGUGCCUAUUCCAGUUUCAUUCCUUUGGACAUUGAAUUCAUCAAAUCUUGUUAUUGAAUUGAGUUAUUUGUGAUUGCUUGGAUUCCAUAUGUGCCCUUGCUUUCAAUUCCCUUCAAAUCUGAAUAUACUUGUGAAAGAUUAUUGCUUACUUCGGAUUGACUCGUAAAGGCACAUGUACGUUUGUUGUUCCGCGUGUGCUUCCGAUAUAUGCUACUUAUUGUUGAAACUAUCCUUUUGUACUCUGGUGUGUGGGAUUGUCUGGACCUUUGCCAGAAAUGGUAAAGGGUAUGCGCUGAUUUGCCCGCUAUGUGGGGUCCCGCUAUGUGGGAUAUUCUGGUAUGCGCUUAUUUGCCCGCUAUGUGGGGUCCCGCUAUGUGGGAUAUUGCUUAGAGCCUGCGAUGCUCUGCCGGCCCCCUUUGACUUCACCUAGACGUGGGUGGAUGGAGCUCCCAGACGUGGGAGACUUUUGUCAGGUGGUCAUUCAGAAAUGGAUGAAUCACAUUCUGACUGAGAUCCCACUACACCUUCUGUAUGUUUGAUAUGAUAUCCAGAGCUUUGGUUAUGUGUUUCUGUACAUGCUUUGGAUAAGAUUGAUAUGUUUACAACGUCAAAGACGACGUUUGAGCUUCUGUACGAUAUUUGUUUUCGAUAUGCUCUGAAAUGCUUCAUUCACUGAUGAUAUGCUUCGAAAUGUUCCAUAUGCCGUUGAUAUGCUCCGGAACAUUUCAUAUGCCAUUGAUAUGCUCCAAUUACUCUGUGCUCCAUUUGCUAUGAACUGAUAUGUUCUGAAAUGUCCUAUCUGCCAUUGAUAUGUUCCAAUUACUCUGUGCUCCAUUUGCUAUGAACUGAUAUGUUCUGAAAUGUCCUAUCUGCCAUUGAUAUGUUCCAAUUACUCUGUGCUCCAUUUGCUAUGAACUGAUAUGUUCUGAAAUGUCCUAUCUGCCAUUGAUAUGUUCCAAUUACUCUAUGCCCCAUUCGUUAUGGAUCAAAUAUGUUUUGAAUGACAUGAUACGUAUGAUUUGGUAUCUAUUGAGAUGGUAUCCUUGAGAAUUCUUGUAUUCUGCCUUGCAUUAUGAUACCUUACUCGUUUGAAACCGUUCCUUUUGUUCUGAAUAUGCUUUGUCACUUGCUGAGCCGUUUUUGGCUCACUCCGUUGUUAUAUGAAUUUUUCAGGUCAGCUUGUCACUCUUCGAGAUGUUUGAUUUGGGCUGAGGCAGUGGAUAGCUAUUCAGAAUAAUGGGCAAGUCUGGUUGGUUAUUACGAUAUUGUUGUAUAAGUAUGUCUUGUAUGUAAUGAAAUGUUGUCGAUAAACCGAAAUGGAUAUACUGUGUCCAAGUGUUAGGAGAUCUCUCUUAUUUGGAAUUUCAGAAUGUUAAGUCAAAUUUAUGGUGAUAUGAACUUGUGGUGAAUAGUUGGAGUUCUGAUUGUAUAAUUUAUUUAGCUCGUGGAUUUAUAAAUGUUGUUCAUGUUUGUCAA